AGCAGCCGCGGUAAUUCCAGCUCCAAUAGCGUAUAUUAAAGUUGUUGCAGUUAAAAAGCUCGUAGUUGAAUUUUGGAUUCUACCAUUUGGUCCAUCUUUUAGAUGAGUACUGAAUGUGUGGGGUCUAUCCGCCUGAUAAUACGUAAUGUUCUUUAUUGAAUGUUACGGGUAGUCAGGACUUUUACCUUGAAAAAAUUAGAGUGUUUAAAGCAGGCUUAUGCCGGAAUACAUUAGCAUGGAAUAAUAGAAUAGGACGAAGUUGUUUUAUUUUGUUGGUUUUUAGGACAACCGUAAUGAUUAAUAGGGAUAGUUGGGGGCAUUAGUAUUCAAUUGUCAGAGGUGAAAUUCUUGGAUUUAUUGAAGACUAACUACUGCGAAAGCAUUUGCCAAGGAUGUUUUCAUUAAUCAAGAACGAAAGUUAGGGGAUCGAAGACGAUCAGAUACCGUCGUAGUCUUAACCAUAAACUAUGCCGACUAGGGAUCGGGCGAUGUUGUUUCCAUGACUCGCUCGGCACCUUAUG
rnacentral:rRNA from 1 species